GACGAACGCUGGCGGCAUGCCUAACACAUGCAAGUCGAACGAGACCUUCGGGUCUAGUUGCGCACGUCUGCGUACCGCGUGGUAACCUGCCCUUAGGUUCGGAAUAACUCCCCGAAAGGGGUGCUCAUACCGGAUACUGUCUUCGGACCAAAGAUUUCUCGCCUUUGGGUGGGCCCGCGUUGGAUUAGCUAGUUGGUAGGGUAAAAGCCUACCAAGGCGACGAUCCAUAGCUGGUCUGAGAGGAUGAUCAGCCACACUGGGACUGAGACACGGCCUAGACUCCUACGGAAGGCAGCAGUGGGGAACAUUGGACAAUGGGCGAAGGCCUGAUCAAGCAAUGCCGCGUAAGUGAUGAAGGCCUUAGGGUUGUAAAGCUCUUUUACCCGGGAUGAUAAUGACAGUACCGGGAGAAUAAGCACCGGCUAACUCCGUG
rnacentral:rRNA from 1 species